ACCUAGGAGAUGGGCCUCUGGGCAGGCCUGUGGGAGACCACUGUGGGAAGACCAUGCUGACCACUGGUGAGCAGGACUACUCCCUGGGCGGGGGAUCCUGGAUGGUGUAAGUGGAGAAAGCCAGCUGAGGACCAGCAUGCACUCGUCAUUCUGUUUCUAUCUGGAUGUGAUGUGAACCACUGUGUCAAGCUCUAGCUGCCUUGCUUUUCCCAUCAUGAUGGACGGUGCGCACCCUGAACUGAUCCGGUUUAAAACCACCUGCUAAUAAAACAAGGCAGACAGAAUGACUAAAGCCAUCUUUAAGCCCUAAACAAUGCUAUUAGUGAUUCGGGGUUCCUGAAUGUCAGCAGAAUGCACAAAAGCGGCUGGAAGAAAGGGGUCUGCAGGGAGGAGAGGCACUCGGGGAUGGAUUACCUGCAGCAGAGAGUCCUCUGAACUGGCGCCAUGGUUCACCGGGAAAGGCAUUCGCCCAUCUGGAACAAAGAAGGCAGGCCUGUCAGCGCUCCUCUGCAUUCCCAGAAUCUGGUAGCUGCCCAAUCCAGAAGGAUUUCUAAGAUUUGUCCAAACGCUGCUACCAUUCCCACAAGGGGAGUCUGAUCUCAAAGCGGCAGGAUGCAUGAGAUUGAAGCGCUCCUGGAUGGUCGCUGACAAUUCUAGUCUACAAUCGAUGAGAUCACACAGGCCCGACCCAGCUACCCUAACAGGAGGAAUUAAUUGUACCCCCAUGCUUUGGAGAAAACAACUGUGGAAAAGUCAGGCAGUCUCUAGGCAAGAGUAAAGACUGCUCCGGUUUCCAGCUGCCCUUUUGUGACUGCUGAUUUUUUCCCAUCUCCUUUGCCCCUGGGAGCCUUUAACUCUGAGGUGAUACAGGUGCAAGCCUUUCUCCAUUAAAAGAAAAUGAAUGGAUUUCC